rnacentral:rRNA from 1 species
CGCUCUUCCGAUCUGACCGAUAGCGUACCAGUACUGUGAAGGAAAGGCGAAAAGAACCCCGGGAGGGGAGUGAAAUAGAACCUGAAACCGCAUACAUACAAACAGUAGGAGCCUCGUUAAGGGGUGACUGCGUACCUUUUGCAUAAUGGGUCAGCGACUUACGUUUAAUGGCAAGCUUAACCGAUUAGGGGAGGCGUAGCGAAAGCGAGUUCGAAUAGAGCGAUUUGAGUCGUUAGGCGUAGACCCGAAACCAGAUGAUCUAUCCAUGGUCAGGUUGAAGAUGUGGUAACACACAUUGGAGGACCGAACCGACUAGUGUUGCAAAAUUAGCGGAUGAACUGUGGAUAGGGGUGAAAGGCUAAACAAAUCUGGAGAUAGCUGGUUCUCCCCGAAAACUAUUGAGGUAGUGCCUCGUGUAUAACUCCAGGGGGUAGAGCACUGUUAUGGCUAGGGGGACAUGGCGUCUUACCAAACCAUGGCAAACUCCGAAUACUUGGAAGUUGAGCACGGGAGACAGAGCACCGGGUGCUAACGUCCGGACUCAAGAGGGAAACAACCCAGACCGCCGGCUAAGGUCCCUAAUAUUGUCUAAGUGGAAAACGAAGUGGAAAGGCUAAAACAGUCAGGAAGUUGGCUUAGAAGCAGCCAUCCUUUAAAGAAAGCGUAAUAGCUCACUGAUCGAGUCUUUCUGCGCGGAAGAUGUAACGGGGCUAAGACAAUAACCGAAGCCGCGGAUUCACACGUAAGUGUGAGUGGUAGGGGAGCGUUCUGUAAGCCUGCGAAGGUGGCUUGUAAAGGCUGCUGGAGGUAUCAGAAGUGCGAAUGCUGACAUGAGUAACGUUAAAGUGGGUGAAAAGCCCACUCGCCGUAAGCCCAAGGUUUCCUGCUCUACGUUCAUCGGAGCAGGGUGAGUCGGCCCCUAAGGUGAGGCUGAUAAGCGUAACUGAUGGGAACAAGGUUAAUAUUCCUUGACCGCCGUUGAGUGCGAAGGGGGGACGGAGUAUUGAAGAUCAUCCGGGUGUUGGAUAUCCCGGUUUGCGCGCGUAGGAGGCUGAUAGGCAAAUCCGUCAGCGAAUCUCCGAGGCAAAGCAUCGAGACCUUUUAGGUCGAAGUGAUUGGAUGUGCUCCCAGGAAAAGCCUCUAAGCUCCAGCUCAACGGGACCGUACCGCAAACCGACACUGGUGGGCGAGCUGAAUAUGCUCAGGCGCUUGAGAGAACUCAGGAGAAGGAACUCGGCAAAUUGACACCGUAACUUCGGGAUAAGGUGUGCCUUUGUAGUGUGAAGGAAGAAACAUCCGGAGCAUGAAGAGGUCUCAGAGAAUUGGUGGCUGCGACUGUUUACUAAAAACACAGCACUCUGCAAAGACGAAAGUCGACGUAUAGGGUGUGAUGCCUGCCCGGUGCUGGAAGAUUAAUUGAUGGGGUGCAAGCUCCUGAUCGAAGUCCCAGUAAACGGCGGCCGUAACUAUAACGGUCCUAAGGUAGCGAAAUUCCUUGUC